CAGUAGCCACGGUAAUACGUAGGGUGCAAGCGUUAAUCGGAAUUACUGGGCGUAAAGCGUGCGCAGGCGGUUAUAUAAGACAGAUGUGAAAUCCCCGGGCUCAACCUGGGAACUGCAUUUGUGACUGUAUAGCUAGAGUACGGCAGAGGGGGAUGGAAUUCCGCGUGUAGCAGUGAAAUGCGUAGAUAUGCGGAGGAACACCGAUGGCGAAGGCAAUCCCCUGGGCCUGUACUGACGCUCAUGCACGAAAGCGUGGGGAGCAAACAGGAUUAGAUACCCCCGUAGUCCCUGUCUCUUAUAU
rnacentral:rRNA from 1 species